CUCAAAUCAGGCAGGACUACCCGCUGAACUUAAGCAUAUCAAUAAGCGGAGGAAAAGAAACCAACAGGGAUUGCCUUAGUAACGGCGAGUGAAGCGGCAAAAGCUCAAAUUUGAAAUCUGGCACCUUUGGUGUCCGAGUUGUAAUUUGAAGAAGGUAACUUUGAGUUUGGUCCUUGCAUAUGUUCCUUGGAACAGGACGUCAUAGAGGGUGAGAAUCCCGUUCUGUGAGGUGGCCAUUCUCUUGUAAAGUGCUUUCGAAGAGUCGAGUUGUUUGGGAAUGCAGCUCUAAGUGGGUGGUAAAUUCCAUCUAAAGCUAAAUAUUGGCGAGAGACCGAUAGCGAACAAGUACAGUGAUGGAAAGAUGAAAAGAACUUUGAAAAGAGAGUGAAAAAGUACGUGAAAUUGUUGAAAGGGAAGGGCUUGAAAUCAGACUUGGUAUUCAGUGAUCAACUUUCUUUCGGGAAUGUGCACUCGCUGUUUACUGGGCCAGUAUCGGUUUUGACGGUGAGAGAAUUGCAAAGGAAUGUGGCUCCUCGGAGUGUUAUAGCCUUUGUGGAUAUCGCCAGUUGGGACCGAGGACCGCGCUUUAUAGCUAGGAUACUGGCGUAAUGAUUUUAAGCCACCCGUCUUGAAACACGGA
rnacentral:rRNA from 1 species